CCUACGGGUGACAGCAGUGAGGAAUAUUGGACAAUGGUCGGGAGACUGAACCAGCCAAGCCGCGUGAGCGAGGAAGGUACAGAGUAUCGUAAACCUCUUUUGUCAGGGAACAAAGGCGGGGACGUGUCCCCGGAUGAGUGUACCUGUAGAAAAAGCAUCGGCUAACUCCGUGCCAGCAGCCGCGGUAACACGGAGGAUGCGAGCGUUAUCCGGAUUUAUUGGGUUUAAGGGGUGCGCAGGCGGUCUGUUAAGUCAGCGGUAAAAGCCCGGGGCUCAACCCCGGCCCGCCGUUGAAACUGGCAGUCUCGAGUUGGAGAGAAGUAUGCGGAAUGCGCGGGGUAGCGGUGAAAUGCAUAGAUAUCGCGCAGAACUCCGAUUGCGAAGGCAGCAUGCCGGCUCCACACUGACGCUGAGGCACGAAAGCGUGGGUAUCGAACAGGAUUAGAUACCCGAGUAGUC
rnacentral:rRNA from 1 species